GUGCUGUUGGGUUCAGGUGCUGAGGUUUCCCUGCUCUAAUGGGGUGACUCAGCAGCAGCACGCUGGCAGGUCCCGAGCUCAGCGAGCAGGUGGAAAUCGGACGGAGUUCUGCCACGAGCGGGGCUGGGCUGAGCCUGCUCCUUCCCAUUUCCUGCUGUGGGGAACGAUGAAUUUCUCCAACCAUCCCGUCCCACUGGAAAGGCUGGCUCUGCUGUCCUCUCCCCGAGCAUCUUGGGAGCCGCGGUGACGGUCCGCGGCUGUUUUGAGGCUGGGCUGUGAGAUCAGAGCACAAACCAGUUCUUCUUCACCUUUCAUCAUCGGGGCGGGAGCAGGGCCUUGCUCUGUGUGUGCUGCUUGGCGUUGAGCUGAGGGCAGAGGGUUCCAUCCCAGGCAGAGCUGCCCCAGGCGUGGCCAGGAUCCUCAGCAGGGUCAGAAGUGGCUGCAGUGAAAAUGGCAAUUGCCCCUAAUUUGUUGGUAAUAAGACUCGGCCUCUCCCCAUGGCCUGGGCCAAGGUGUGCUGAUUGCUGGAGAAGGGUGCCCGGUCCCUGCCCGGGUAAGCUUGCCCUGCAAAGCUGUGAGGGCAGUGAGAAAACACCCUCAGAAGCACUGAGAAACAUUCCGUGCCAGAUGAGCGCUAGGAAAGAGAACAACCCUUGCCAAAGGCCAGCCAGAAAGUGCUUUGCUGCGGCCUGGCAAGGCAGACAGGGACCCAAAAUGCUCCAGCAAAGCAGGUGGGACACCCUCUCACACUGCAGACCCACAGACUUGGAGUGCAGCUGAGGCAGCAGGGAGGGAAGCGGCAAGGCAUGGAACAACAGGUCCCAGCAGCGAGGUGCCAGCCUGGGGGACACGCACACCUCGAGCCCCAGGUCGGGGACACUCACACCUAUGGCACGGGGCCGUCGUGGCCGUGCCUCGUGGCCAUCUGUGGGCAGAGCAUCGUGCCCUGGGACCAGGUGUGCUCAGCUGACUGACGUCUCCAGCUGUGCCCCUUUGCUGGGUGAGAAAGCUCCUGGAUGCAGCACUGCUCCUCAGAAACCAACCAUCUUCUCAGAAAAGCAGGUGCUAAAAUCAGGCCUCAGGGACACCAAAGGGCCAUCCGCCUCCGGGCAUCCCAGAAUUUGUUGUGUUUUCUAGAGGUGCUGUUGUACAGCUUCGUGAACAAAGCACGGACGACCCGUGAGCGAGGUGCUAAAAGAGAGGUGCUCCUUCUCUGGUGGCAAAAAGCUCUUCACGGUGAGGAGCCCCCCGAGGCUGCACUGCCAGGUUCUUCAGGGAAAGCAGGGGGAGGCAAGGCCAGCCUUCCUCUGCACCAAGUGCUGGGGAAGCCUUGUUUCUCUCUGUAACAGGGGAAUAGUGGAAACCACCUCUGGGCCAGACGCAGCCGGAGGAUGAGGAAGGAUCAUGGAAUUAUUAAGGAUGGAAAAGACCACUGAGGUCACCCAUUGUCCAAACGCCAACCCAGUCCCACUGUGCCCGCUAACCGUGUGCCUCGGGAUGCGAGAAGUGUUUGAGGAAGGACUGUAUGACAAACACAGCGGGACACAUUGGUGGCACCACGUAGGACCGGCCCUGGCAGCGCGGCUGGAGGAAAGGUGUGCCCAGGCAGACCCCGGAGCUGCAAAGACCCCGGGAAGAGAUGCUUGGCUUUGAGCACCCGUUCCUGGGUGUUCCACGGGGAAGGAGCUCGCCGAGCGGCCGCGGACCGUAGCGCACAGCUCGCUGCCCGCACGUCCGAGCCGGGAACGCCACCUGGCGGGAGCGGGGCUCGAACCCACGAUCACAAAACCACUUCGCUCCGCCCUGCUUUCCCCCCCCCGGCAAAGACUCGCG
ensembl:lncRNA